ACACACACACAGGUUCUUUUUCAGGUUCCAGGUCUAAUUUCUGAGUAGAUUCAUGUGACCUUGCUCCAUUUUCUUGUGCAUUUUUUUUUCCCAUGGCGGCUGUGCUUUUCACAUGAAGCUGGUGUCUGUGGCAUUUAGAGCGUUUAGAGGCUUUGGUUUGCUCUCUGUUCUAAGGUCUUCCGAUGACCUUACCGCCUAGAUCAGGGAAUGGGUGAGGGGGAGGCCAGUACACCCCACAUGGAGAAAACCAGGCCCAUGUGUACUCUGGGCCUGCUCCUUCCUCCGCCUGCCUGAAACCACACUUGCAGUCAGCACGUCAGAACCUGCGAGGUCUGGAUAGAUUUCUGCUUUUAAAGAGCUGCCGGACCGAGAAUGUCAGAGUCACGUUACUCUAGAGAUCAAAUGGCAAUUCACAGCCACAAAGGGAGUGGCACACUCCACCAAUCCUCACCCUGAGACUGUCGGGCUAGACCCCUAGGGUGUCUGAGGCUGCCCCUGUUGAAACAGUGGGGCUGACAAAAGCAAUUUGAAGGGGAAACAAAAGUCCUGCAGGGUUCGGUUACAAAUGUUUGCCUGAACUUGGAAUCCUUAUUCUAGAAAGUUCUAUGCUAACAUGGGGGCAGCUGCUGCUUUCAUGAGUAGAGAAAAACAACUCUGAUGGAGGCGGGUGAGUGAGGGGGAGCAGAGCCAGCAGAAAUCCUGGCUCAGCAGCCCGGGAUGGGUCCCACGAAUACAGUAGCCAGGGAGCAGGGCGCAUGCUCUCCAGGAUCCCAUUUCAGGCCAGCUGGAGUGAGGAUGUGUUCUUGGCCACAGGAAAAAUGUUCCCUCAGACAGAGCUGUGAACCCGGCAGGAUGGAGGGAGGACUGCACUGCCAGGUGACUGCACUUCCCAGCAGCCUUUCCUGUCUUCCUUCCCUGGGUAGCAUGUGUUUUUGUGUUGCCAAUUCACCCACCUCCCGAAAUACCCUUUUUUUUUUUUUUUUUUUGAGAUAGAGUCUCACUCUGUGUCACAGGCUGAAGUGCAGUGGCCCAAUCUGGGCUCACUUGGAACCUCUGCCUCCAGGAUUCAAGCAAUUCUCCUGCCUCAGCCUCCCUAGUAGCUGGGAUUACAGGCGUAUGCCACCAUGCCCGGCUAAUUUUGUGUGUUUAGUAGAGAUGGGGUUUCUUCAUAUUGAUCAGGCUGGUCUCGAACUCCUGACCUCAGGUGAUCCACCCGCCUUGACCUCCCAAAGUGUUGGGAUUAUACGGCGUGAGCCACCGCGCCCGGCCAAUUCCCUCAUUUUUUAAAUGUAGGAAUUUUUCUGAGCCUGUGAGCUGUGUUGCAAAACUAUAAGCACUUUUCCACAGCUACCCUAUGUCAUCGGUCUCUGACAUAAAGAGGGAAGGAGGAAGGUGGAGCGGGGAAAGGAGGGAGAGAGGGAAAGAAGGAGAAACGCGAGAGAAACAUUUUGCAGACGUCAAAGAAGACCACACUCUACAGGAUAGCAUUACUUGUACAUCAACCACCCACUCCCUCUAAUUUACUAGAAACCAAACGGCCUCUUUAGACGCCCUUAGACGGGUGAGUCUGGGUUGGGUUUUUCUGGGGGCUGGGAGGUGUUUUGUUUUUUCGCUAUCUUCCUUUGACCAAAAGGGCCAUUAAUUGUUGGGAGUUUGAAAGCUACCUGAUUCCCUGAAACAGAGGGGAUUUCCAUGAGUAAUAAUUCAGACCGUGCUUGUGUAGAGUGCUAUGGCUCGAGUAAAUUGAUCCAGCUGCUUACAAAGCUCAUGGAAAAGUGCCCAGGGGAGAGGACGGCGGCGACUGCAGCUGGGGCCUCUGCUGGUGCUGUCACGUGGUCCAGCCGGCGUCCGCCCCCGGGCCCUGCGCGCCCCCGGAGACCCUCUCCCAGCUCCAGGCGCCCUCUAUUUCCCGGCUGCCCGGAACCCCCAGUUCCUCGAGAGGUCGCCACCUUGCAGCCCUGGCUGAUUUCGCAGGUUGAAGGCGAUUCUUCAACACAAGUUGCAGCCUCUUUUUGGGAAAUGCGGGAUACUGAUUCUGGUUGGAGGCGCCCCGAAGCUCCCUCUUGAAUGGCAACCUCUGGUGCCGGGCGUGUUUGUGCUUCCCAGAAGCAUCCCGCAGUUCUGUUGUCCGGACCCACCAGGCCCUAUUUGCAAAGAAAAUCAAAUCUGGCAACAGUCACCUGUAACCCGAGGCUACAGAAAUACCGAUUCCACUGCCCAGAUGGUAGAGUUCAAUGUGUUUGCUGGCUAAGGCCGCACAAGUUAAUUUUUAUCCUAGUAAAAAAUAAUAAACACUGCAUUAGCAACUAAAUGUUUAUCAAUUUGCAGUUCAUUUCCAGCCAGAUCAUUUCGCUCCUGCGUGUUUUUACUGCUAGCUGAUGCACUGGAGUGCUUUUCCCCAAAACCAUAUGUGGCUAUUUAAGUCUUAGCCUCUGUAGCAUUUAUAUGGUGCUUUUCACCUUAAUUGGUUAAUAUAAUUUGGCUACUUCAGCCGUGGUCUUCAAAUAUCGUGUUUUAAUGAUCAAGAAACCGCAGUAGGGAAAGAUUAAAUGACUUGCUGGGGGGAUCAUCCUGCAGUUCAGGGGUGAUGCUAAACAAGGAACCACAGGUUUAUAUGGCACACAGACCUGUUUGGGGGGGCGCACGUGGCUGAGCAGAGCUGAGUUUGUUGUGUGUCUUUUGUGUGAAGAUAAUAUUAGAGGAAGUGGCAGAGAACAACUAGCUAAUGGAGUUGGCAACCCUGCCUGGGAAGAAGAUGCAUUGGUGCACAUAAGCAAGGCUAGCAUGUUGAGCCUGUGAUGGAAACUCCAGUAGCUAUAGUUAAGCCCUUCUGCACAUGCUUUCGCUAUUUUUGUUAGCAGCAUUAGAGGCACUAUGGGGUAGUGUCGUCCACUGUUUGUCAGUGGACUGUCAUAGCCAGAAACAGUGAUUUGGUUAAUACAAAAGGAAGCGAUGCCCGUCCUGGGAUGGUGCAGAUGAUAAACCUCCUCCUACUUCCCAGUACGAGUAGAAACCUUGAUAGUGCCGCUUGGUUUAGGGUGGAUCUAAAGCUGCUACCCUGGGGCGAAGGAGAGUAUAAAAGACUCUUUAGGGCAGAAGGCAGGAUAAGUCAGUUCCUCCUUUAUUACCUCUGUGGGAAAAUAACUCACUUGCUUGAAGUCUAAAUUUUUCUCCCCUGAAAAAGUGAGGGGAUAGUAGGAUGUCCCUCGCAGGGUGGCUGUGCCCAUAAGGGACAUGAUACUCAAGGCUUGGCAUGGUACCUGGCAUCUGGUAGACACUGAAGAAGGACUCUUGCCAGCAGAGUAGGCUUCGUGGAGGCGGGUAGGUGAUGGGUUGAAGAUACCAUGUAUGCAAGCCAGUAUGAGGUCAUGCCCGUUUCCCAAUGGGCAGGUGACACAAAUUUUGUGUCCUUUUUUUGGUCUCCUUGAAUAUAUACUUUUUUUCUUUUUCUUUUGAGACAGCAUCUUGCUCUGUCACCCAGGCUGGAAUGUAGUGGUGCAAUCUCGGCUCAUUGAAACCUGCCUUCUGGGUUCAAGCAAUUCUCCUGCUUCAGCCUCCGAAGCAGCUGGGACUACAGGCGCACACCACCACACCUGGCUAAUUUUUGUACUUUUAGUAGAGACAGGGUUUCACCAUGUUGGCCAGGCUGGUCUUGAACUCCUGACCUCAAGUGAUCCGCCUGCCUCAGCCUCCUAAAGUGCUGAGAUUACAGAUGUGCAUCACCACGCCCAGCGGCUUGAAUAUAUACUUUUAAUGAUGCAAGUGAAAUAGUCACAUUUCUAGUUAAGAAUUUAUUCACUUAGUUACUUGUUUAUUUGUUUAUUUGCUUGUUUGAGACAGAGUCUUGCUCUGUCACUAAGGCUGGAGUGCAGUGGCACAAUCUCGGCUCAUUGAAACCUCUGCCUUCUGGGUUCAGGCAAUUCUCCUGCUUCAGCCUCCGAAGCAGCUGGGACUACAGGCGCGCACCACCACACCUGGCUAAUUGUUGUACUUUUAGUAGAGACAGGGUUUCACCAUGUUGGCCAGGCUGGUCUGGAAUUCCUGACCUCAAAUGAUUUGCCUGCCUGGGCCUCCCAAAGUGCUGGGAUUAUAGGUGUGAGCCACAGCGGCUGGCCCGUUAGAUUAAGAAUUGUGUGCAUAAAUAUACUUAGGAAUCUUGCCUUAUUGUUACUCAUUAACUCAUUAUUCAGACUCUUUGUUAUCAACUGUCUGUGUCAUUACUUAAGCCCCCCAAUUUUUUUUUUUGAGACGGAGUCUUGCUCUGUCACCUAGGCUGGAGUGCAAUGGCACGACCUCAGCUCACUGCAGCCUCUGCCUCCCCUGGGUUCAAGUGAUUCUUUCUUCAGCCCCCGCCCCCCAAAGUAGCUGGGACAACAGGCAUGCGCCAUCAUGCCCAGCUUAUUUUUGUAUUUUUAGUGGAGAUGGGUUUCAUUAUGUUGGCCAGGCUGGGUCUUGAAUCCCUGAUCUCAGUCAAUCUGCCUGCCACGGCCUCCCAAAGUGCUGGGAUUACAGGCGUGAGCCACGGUGCCUGGCCUUGUGCCCCUUUUUAAAUGAUCUGACUCAGUCUUCCAGAACACUUCGUCUUGCUUCUGCCCAGUUGUCUUUGAGAUCUGGGACUUUCUGAGUGUGUGUGCCAUGCUCACUGGAAAUGCUACCCCAGGCCUUCAUAUCCAUGUGCUAUUUGCCAUCUCCACAAAGCCGACUUCCUGCAUUGCUUUUAAAAGCGAUCUUCAUGGCAUUGUGGCUAUGAAGGGAAAUGUUCAUGUGUUUUAGAGACGCAUGCUAAAGUAGGAAGGAGUGAAAUGACGUGAGCCCUCUGAUGCUCUUUAAAAGAUUUCAGCAAAGAGAAAAAAAAGUAAAACACACAAAAUGAAGCAAAUGUUAACAAAUCUGGGUAACUGUUGAUUAAGUGAUAGAUCUGUGGGGAGUCGCUGUGCUGUAGUCUGCUCUUUCUACAUGCUUGAAAAUUGUCCUAAUAAAAGUUAAAAUGCGCUGGGCCUGGUGGCUCACGCCUACAAUCCCAGCACUUUGGGAGGCUGAGGCAGGUGGAUCACUUGAGGUUAGCAGUCCAAGACCAUCCUGGCCAAUAUGGUGAAACCCCAUCUCUACUAAAAAUACAAACAUCAGCCAGGCGUGGUGGUGGGCACCUGUAAUCCCAGCUACUCAAGAGGCUAAGGCACGAAAAUUGCUUGAACCUGGGAGGUGGAGGUUGCAGUGAGCUGAGGUUGUGCCCCUGCACUCCAGCCUGGGCGACAGAGCAAGACUGUCUGAAAAAGAAAGAAAGAAAAAGUUUAAAAUGAGCUUUAAAAGACUGACUUACAGGCUGGGAAUGGUGGCUCAUAAUUAUAAUCCCGGCACUUUGCAGGGCUGAGGUGGACAGGUUGCUUGAGUCUAGGAGUUCGAGACCAGCCUGGGCAACAUGCUGAAAGCCUGUCUCUUCGAUUAAAAAAAAAGGACUUGCUUACAAUAUCUCAUACUUGUAAUUGGAGGUCAUACCUCCAAGAAUAACUACAAAAACUUUUAUUUUUCUUUGUAUUAAGAAACCAAAUCAACAAAAAUUCUUCUUCCAGACAACCUCUAUAAACAUUCCAAACUAAAAUUGAUGAGAUUCCUUUUGGAGUAUUUUCUUGUUCCAAAUAAAGAAAUCUUGUCAUAUUAAGAGCUUUUUGCAGACUCAAAUGUAAGGUGACACCUUAUACUUGCCUAUCCAUCUUAUGUUUCUCUUUGCUGUGCUGGUCUGAGUAGACAGGGUUGGUAAUGACCCCAAAUGGAACACUUCUCUAGAGAAGUGAUAGGGAGAGCUCUCGCAGUGCCCUUCAUCAGAAGUACCCAUUACCUAGUGCCCUUGUUGGCACUGGAGCUGGAAGGCUCAGGAUAUCAGGGAACAGGCUGCCCACAGUCCUGGAAGCAGGCCUGGUGGCACAGGCCUGGGUAUGGAGUGUCAGUGGUGGCAGAAGAGGGGAGAGUCACUGUUUUCUUCAUUAGUUAAUGUCUGUCGCCUGGAGGGAGGGCAAGAGCCAUGGUCUACACAGCCAAAGUGAGAGGGUGGUUGAGCAAUUCUCUAGCAAAGUCAGGCAAGCGUAUUUAGGCUGAGGAGCCCUGGUUCCCACAGCCUAAAGUGUUAGGAAUGGAGAGUGAAAGGAACAGAAAACCAGUCCAUAUUUGUCUUAUAUGAAUUUUGUAGCAAUGGCUUUUCCAAAGGGGGAAAGAAAAAGUUAUUUUAUUUUUUCGCACUUGGACGUAUUUAUCUUUGUUGUGGCUUCUUUUUUUUUGUUUUGUUUUUAAUUGUACUUUAAGUUCUUGGGUACAUGUGCAGAUCUUGCAGGAUUGUUUUUAAAACGGGAUUGAAAAAGAGGAUGUGUUCCAUAUGGACAUAGUAGGCCAUUUACCGACGAGUUACUAUGAUAAAACAGAUCUACUGGGCCUGUGUGGGAAGCCUGGAAUUCUUUUUCUUUAUAGUCUUUUCCCUUAGGGAUACAUUGCAUUAUUCCACAAUAGGUUGAUGAUAAUCUUUGAGAGAUUUACUUCUGAGACUUCUCAGUGUGGCUUCAUUCACACUUCACAUUUCAUAAGAGAGAUGAUUUUGGCUACUUUGAAAGAACCCUCCCUCAAACAUAAAGAUCACAGCAUCACGACGUUAGAAUGUCUGUCUCAACAUUUCAGUGCUAGAAGAUUUAUUAGAAUACAGAUGAAUAAAAUAAGAUAAACACAAUCCCAGUGUGCUCAAACUGAGAGCACGUUCUUUUUUUGAAAACGUUUUCUUCUUCUUCUUCUUUUUUUUUUUUGAUGAGCUAAGUGUUAAUUAUAACCCAAAAAGAAGGAAAAGUGUGAGAUUAGGUAAGUGUCUGCUAGAUCCAUCACUGACGUGCAUUCUGUGAAAUGGGCUUAGAGGUCACUGGUUGCAUCUGCAGGAACAAGUUCACUUGUUGUUUAUUCUCAGUCUGAUUGGGCCACCACUGAAAACAGAAGGUGAACUACGGUCCAGAGGCCCUCUGUGAGAUUCAGGUCUGACUUGGAGGGUCGCUUCCAUCGAGGGCGCGCAUGAUGAAGUCUGCAGGCAGCGCUUGGGCAACGCCAGGUGGCCACUGGCCAGGGUAGAAGUUAAACCAGGAGAUGGCCAUCAAAUGCAGUUGCUGGGUUUUGCACAUCUUUCCCAAGCUUCUGAGCUGAGCAGGAAAGAGAGACGUUUGUCUGGGGAUUUAUCUCAUCUCUAAGACGCUCUUAUAGACGAACUCUACCAGUUCUAUGUAGAACUCUGUGUCAUUUCUAUAAGUCACUCUUUAAUCUGAAACUUUCUGUUUGCUCAAGAGGAAAACAAGUCUGACUUGCAUACCACUGAGGAUUUAGAUUGGACAGUUUAUGUCUGUCACCUGCGCCCCCACAGCGUCUUCUACCAAUGCUAUCCUGCACUGAUUUUUCCAGCAACCUGGGAGGCAGCCUCAUAGGUUGUUUGGGAUGUCUUUUGAUUGUGUUUAAAAACUUCUGACAGAUUUCCUGCACAUCCUAGGAUAAAUGUGUUUCCUGUGAAUUGUGAUGAUUUCUUACACUACAUUUGCAAGCCUGUGUAUGCAUCUGCAGGAACCGUAAUCCGGCUCUGGGAAGGAAUGCUGCUGUGACCGCAAAACUGUUUCUGCGGAAUUUCUCUAGUGUAGUCAUCCUGCCUUCAGCCUGCGCUGAGAUUGCAGAAACCUGAAAGAGGCAGUGUGUAUCCCACCUCCCCGUCCUGCGUGACUCUCAAGUGAGUUUUCUUUAAGUAUCUUUUUCUUCAGCCUCAGGAAAAAGAGGAUCUUAGAAAGGAAGGAGCAAGGAUCCAACAUCACACUGUUUUUGUUAGCUGUGUGUGUGUUUCCUGCAUAUCCAAAGGACAGAGGAGAUGAGAAAGCAAAAGAAGAGAAACGAGGAAUCAGAUUGGAAAGACAGUACGAGUUUGUACUUAUGAAAUGAAACUUCUGUGCCUCUACACAGGCCUGGGAGUCUGUCCCAAUUUCCUGUCUCUAACCUCACUGUAAGUGCUGACCCACUUCUGGCUAUCUUUGUUUCUUUGAAAACGCUCACUGUGUGAUUGGAGUUGGCUUGCUGACUCUGUUCUCUAUCCUCCCCACCACCUGAGUCCCAAAGGGCAGUCCUUCCCACCUCACGCCCAGUAAUUAUGGGUGAGUGCAGAGCCAAAGGAUGGCAGGGUUUUGUUGGUGGUGUGACAAACGGGUCACCCCUUUCCUCGCAAUCAGAGACACAGGGACAAGCAGCUUGCACCUGCACGUGGAGCUUUGCACAUGGCCUUUGCUGAUUUUCCUCUCUGAGGCAUGCCCUCUCCACUAAAGAUGGGCACCUUCCUGCGUUCCGGAAUUCUGGGGGGUGUGCUGACGUUAUGCUCCCGCCCCAGCUCUGUGCUUUGGGUCCAGGGCAGGGAGUGUGCGUAGCUACUUAUCUAGGAUUGCAACCUGAGUCAACAGUGGAACCAGGAAGUGAACUCAGGGUCCGGCAUUGUACGGAAAGUUGGGUGUAUUUACUUUUCUCUUAAAGCAAACUUUGAUUGACUCUUUAAUAAGUUACCAUGGGGGAUAUAGUUCUGGUGAAAUUUGACUUGGCAUCUAAAUCUAAGUCACAUAUUGAUAAUGGAGGAGAGGAACAGGGAGUCUUUUACGUUUUUCCAGUUUUAUCAUUAACCCCAAGUUUGGAAAUCUGUUUGCUUUUAAAAGUUUCAGUUUCCCAGUUUAGGAAGGCGACAGUUCUUUACUGAGGAGUGUUUUUUUUUGUUUGUUUGUUUGUUUUGUUUUUUGAGACGGAGUCUCGCUCUGCCACCCAGGCUGGAGUGCAGUGGUGCGAUCUCAGCUCACUGCAAAUUCCACCUCCUGGGUUCAAGCGAUUCUCCUGCCUCAGCCUCCUGAGCAACUGGGGCUACAGUCAAUCCCAGGAUUGCUACACCUGGGUCAUUUUUUUUGUAUUUUUAGUAGAGAUGGGGUUUCAACAUGUUGACCAGGCUGGCCUCAAACUCCUGACCUCAGGUGAUCAGCCUACCUCAGCCUCAAAGUGCUGGGAUUACAGGCAUGAGUCAACCUGGCCUGAUGAGGUUUUUGAUGUCCUUUGUGGACAGGCCUGUCACCUGGCUGGCACACAGCACUGUGGGAACCUCUGGCAGGGCUGUGUGAGGAAUUAGAGUGACCUCGACUUCCGGCAAGCUCAAUGUGGGUCUCAACUCUGUCACUUUAGGUGUCACCUGGGCAAUCCCUUCCCUUCUUUGGCCUCGAUGUCCUCCUCUGUGAAGUGAGGAAAUUUCUGCAGGACGUCACCUGUGCAAGGUACACAGUGUGAUGACAGGCUCUGUGCUUUUUCUGCUUGGGUCCAUCAAGAGAAGCUGGAGAUGGCGAAUGAGGGUCUGAAGAGAGAAAGGAAGAGUGGGAACUUCCACAGCCAGUGAGGCGGGCAACGCAGGCUCUGCCUCUCUCCCCCGCCCAUCUAGGAGGAGGGUCUGGUGUGGAGUCCAUGAGGGGCUGGGGCCCUACUUUGGAGGGAAUACGGAUUUGCUCAUCUCUCCCCACCUGCUCCCGGGGCUCACGCCUGGAAGAAGGCUUAGGACAUGGGGGAAAUGUCUAAUGUGGAGCCCACCUGCUGAGAAAGGACCCGGUGUGAAGGAAGAAGCCUUGUUCUGGUUCCUGAUGACCCAGCCACCCAUCGCCAGAGCUGAGCCUGGCCACAGGGCCCGCCUGCAGGAAGGGUUGGCUCAUGGCUUCACGCUGCGCUCAGAGCCCAGGAGCGGUGUGCAUAAAAGGCUUUUGGGGAAGAGGAGAAGUGCCACUCGGUGACUUGCACAGGAAACUGGAAAUCGGAUCCCCAGAUUGUCAUCCAUUAUAUUCAUCAACACAGAGAGAUGGAACAUUUGGCAAAAUUAUUUUAAGUAGCACUCCAACCUGUGAUCGUAAUUUCAAAUCAAGGAAUUUGCUGAGCAGCUGUGGGGAAGAACAAAGGGCCCAAGAGUGAUUUAGGGCCUAGGGGAAGGGAGGCGGUGGAGCUGAAGGCCCCAGCCGGUAGGUAGCAGAAACAGCUGGGGAAGCAGGUUGUGUGCACCCCCAGCCUUCUCAGCCCUGCCAUCCCGUCCACACGUGCCUCAUCAGAGAGUUUUCAUCUGUUGAACACACCACAUGCAGUGCUUCAAAACAGAUAAAAUGAGCAGAGGAUUCAGAUUCAGUCUAAUACCCUCGCUGAGAGCUUCGGCUUAGGAGUUGGAUGGGCCUGGCCUUGAAUCCUGGCUCAGCUGCUCACCGGCCUCAGUGGCAUCAUCUGUAAAAUGGGGCUAAUGUAGCAAUCACUUUGUAGCAAUUACUAUGAGGAUGAGUGUUUAUUUGACCCAGUCGCUGGCAUAGAACAGGUGUUCCAAAUACUAUUAUUAUCACCAAUAUGCAGAAACGUUCAACUGAUACACUUGGUUUUCACAACCAAUUAAUUCAAUGAACAUCUACUGAGUACCCGUUAUAUGUCAGGCGCAGGCCUGGGUGUUGUACGGGUACAAACACGUAAAGCAUAGGAAUUGAUAUGCUAUUAGACAAAUUAAAAAAUACUUCUAUGACUCAGAAAGUAAUAAUGACUUCCAAGAAUAUUUAAUUUACCAAAGAGCCUUUUUUUUUUUUUGAGAUGGAGUCUUGCUCUCUCAGGCUGGAGUAAAAUGGUACUAUCUUGUCUCACUGCAACCUCUGUCUCCCAGGUUCAAGCAAUUCUCGUGCCUCAGCCUCCCAAGUAGCUGGAGUUACAGGCGCACGCCACCACACCUGGCUGGCUAAUUUUUGUGUUUUUAGUAGAGAUGGGGUUUCAGCGUGUUGCCCAGGCUGGUCUUAAACUCCUGACCUCAGGUGAUCCAACCGCCUUGGCCUCCCAAAGUGCUGGGAUUAUAGGCAUGAACCACCACACCCGGUCAAAAGAGCCUUUCUUAACAGAUAGUCUAUUAGAAACAAUUUGAAAAGAAAAUAUAGAGUUGAAAAAAAUAAAAGGGAAGCUGUAUUCUUUCUAAUUGUUCUUGAACUUGUUGCUUUUCGAUACAACUAUUAUCUAAAUUAACUUAAUUUCUUAAAAUAAGCCCUGCUUCAUAUCCAGGAACCUUCAGUCAGACCUAUUUACAAACAGCCUGGUUUGCCUGAGUGACUUUUAGUGACACAUGCGUACUCAGAAAGGGUAUCAUUUGCCAGAGAUUAGCCAGUUCUGCUGAAUUCCAGUCUUCAGAAUGAGAAGUCAUCUAGUUCAAACUUUCAUCCUUUUAAUAGAAUUUCUGGGAGAUAACAGCUGAGCUUCUGCUCAGACUCUGCUAGGAAUGGAGAACUUACCACUUCAAAACGUACAUGCUGCCCGGGUUGGACAGCUCUAGUGUUCAAGAUGGAAUAAUUCAUGGGGAACUAAUUGAAAAGAAUUUGCAAAGCAUAUCUCAAGGACAAAAAUCCCUUCUGCUGUUUUUUUCCUUUCGUUUUGGUCUCAAUCUCUGUGGUUUGGUGGAAUUUAGACUGUCUGUCUUCCCCUUUUACUCCGAGCCUGCCCUCUGCCCCCGCCCCCCAGGGGAACACCAGUGGCUCUGAUCACCAUUGGGUGGCCAAGCGUAUCUGGCUGCAGAAGUUUGGAACCAAUACUCAGUUCAAGUUGCCCCUCUCCUUAUUCCCUAGGGUGGCUCAACCAGGCUCUGCUUUCUUGGAAAACAACAGUGAACUUUGUUCAGCCCAAACCCGAUUUCCAAACGGAUGUUUGCUCACUGGCCUGCCCUCUCCAGCUGCUCCCCGCUGCUGACCACUUCUUGAGCAAACCGCUAGCUGCUUCUGCUGUUCCAGCACUUCCUGGAAGGCAGCGCAAGGGGCCGGGGCAGAUGGAACCCAAGCCCUGUUGCUUGUGGCCUUGGCUUACUGAGCCUGAGUCCGUCACCAGAUCAUUAGAAAAGGGACGUGUGUGUGCCUACCUUUGAAGCCAGUAGGCCAAAAGGAAGUGAGCAGGACAGCGCCGUAACACUUAGAGUACUGUGUUUGCUUCGCCCUUCUGGUUUUCUGCAGAAUUGCUAGAAUUUUUUUAAAAAGGAAGCAGCAAGUUGAGAGCAACUAAAGUAAAAAGAGAAAAGUGAUACAAAGGGAAAGGUUUAUUUUUGGAGCGCUUAGAUUCUGAAACUCCUUCUGACUCUUACUACCUCUCCCAUUCUCCUAGCUGGGCUCUUUGUCCUCAUGGGGACUGUGCGCCUCUGAUCUCACUGUAGCUCUGGGUCUUCUGGCUUUCUGGCUCCUGGAGUGAGCCCUUUCAAUGAGGCCCUCCCUCAAUUUCCCAUCCCUCUUAUUCUUCUGCCAUCCAGACUCAUCACAGCCCAAAUCGGAGACUAGCUGGCUGCACAGCUACUCAGAGUGGCUGGAGACAGCCAGCCCCCGAGGCGACUUGUUCCACGGUGAUCUGACUGGUUCACCCAGGGGUCUCGGACCUCACAGACCUUAUCAGGAACAUCAAAUGGGGUUUGUGUGGCCCGAAUGAUAUUUAAAACAAUUUGAUUUAGUUAUGAGCAUUGAAGAAACAGGACAUCACCGGAAAAUCCCGAGUUUUAGCUGCACUAGCAGACGGAACUGAGAGCUGGUGGUGCCUGGUCUUUUCCCACUCUGGAAUGAUCACUGCCUGGAGCUGAGAGGCAGCAGCUUCUCUGACAUAGGGCACACAUGAUGUCUGCAACAACAGAGUGUCUUCCUGGACCCGGAACUGAGAAUUAGAUGUCACUGAUCCAUGGGCUUGCUUCCUCCCACUCCCCAGACAACCUGAUUCGUGAGAUGCCUGCCUGUUCCCCCCGACAUCUGAGUUUGCAGCCCGUGCUCAGUAGAGUUUAUUCAGCAGUCCUUUCGUGAUCUGUAGUGGAUUCCUGGCCCGCCACAUUUCUAAUGCGGUUGUUGCAAGUCUUGUCCAGACCUUUCAGACCCUUGAUCUCUCUGGGAGACCGCGCCUCAUACAUUAUUGAAAAGAUUGAGGCCACAUAACAUGUGAUUCAACGCCUCAGCUUUUUGCCUUUCGGCUUCUAAGGUCUCUGCUCUCCCUCCAUUACUUCCUCCUUCUCUCCUUUCUGACUCCCUUUUUCUUUUUCUCAUCAGUUUUAAAAAUUGUAAAAUAGAAUGCACCUACAGAAACGGGAGGCCGAGGCAGGAGAAUCGAUUGAACCCGGGAGGCAGAGGUUGCAGUGAGCCCAGAUCAUGCCAUUGCACUCCAGCCUGGGCGACAAGAGUGAAACUCUGUCUCUAAAACAAA